CUGAUCGCACGGUCCUAGUACCGGCGACGUAUCUUUCAAAUGUCUGCCUUAUCAACUGUCGACGGUAGAUUCUACGCCUACCGUGGUGGUAACGGGUAACGGGGAAUCAGGGUUCGAUUCCGGAGAGGGAGCCUGAGAAACGGCUACCACAUCCAAGGAAGGCAGCAGGCGCGUAAAUUAUCCACCCCUAGUUCAGG
rnacentral:rRNA from 1 species